rnacentral:rRNA from 1 species
UUGAACGCUGGCGGAAUGCUUUACACAUGCAAGUCGAACGGCAGCACGGGGGCAACCCUGGUGGCGAGUGGCGAACGGGUGAGUAAUACAUCGGAACGUGCCCGGGCGUGGGGGAUAACGUAGCGAAAGUUACGCUAAUACCGCAUACGAUCUGAGGAUGAAAGCGGGGGACCUUCGGGCCUCGCGCGAUCGGGGCGGCCGAUGUCAGUUUAGGUAGUUGGUGGGGGAAAGGCCUACCAAGCCGACGAUCUGUAGCUGGUCUGAGAGGACGACCAGCCACACUGGGACUGAGACACGGCCCAGACUCCUACGGGAGGCAGCAGUGGGGAAUUUUGGACAAUGGGCGCAAGCCUGAUCCAGCCAUUCCGCGUGCAGGACGAAGGCCUUCGGGUUGUAAACUGCUUUUGUAUGGAACGAAAAGGCUCUGGCUAAUACCUGGGGCUCAUGACGGUACCGUAAGAAUAAGCACCGGCUAACUACGUG